CCAGCACCUGCGGUAAUUCCAGCUCCAAUAGCGUAUAUUAAAGUUGUUGCAGUUAAAAAGCUCGUAGUUGGAUUUCUAGAUAAGUGGGUACUUGUACUUUGCUUGUCUACCAGUCUUAGACUGUUACUGUGAGAAAAUUAGAGUGUUUAAAGCAGGCUUAUGCCGUUGAAUAUAUUAGCAUGGAAUAAUAAGAUAGGACUUUGGUACUAUUUUGUUGGUUUGUGCACCAGAGUAAUGAUUAAUAGGGACAGUUGGGGCUAUUCGUAUUCCAUUGUCAGAGGUGAAAUUCUUGGAUUUCUGGAAGACGAACUACUGCGAAAGCAUUUAGUAAGGAUGUUUUCAUUAAUCAAGAACGAAAGU
rnacentral:rRNA from 1 species